UUUUCAGUAUAAUAUGUCCCAGACAAUAUUUGGGACAUACUUACACUAAAA
rnacentral:pre_miRNA from 1 species